rnacentral:rRNA from 1 species
GACGAACGCUGGCGGCGUGCUUAACACAUGCAAGUCGAACGGAAAGACCCUGCUUUUGUGGGGUGCUCGAGUGGCGAACGGGUGAGUAACACGUGAGUAACCUGCCCUUGACUUUGGGAUAACUUCAGGAAACUGGGGCUAAUACCGGAUAGGAGCUCCUGCUGCAUGGUGGGGGUUGGAAAGUUUCGGCGGUUGGGGAUGGACUCGCGGCUUAUCAGCUUGCUGGUGGGGUAGUGGCUUACCAAGGCUUUGACGGGUAGCCGGCCUGAGAGGGUGACCGGCCACAUUGGGACUGAGAUACGGCCCAGACUCCUACGGGAGGCAGCAGUGGGGAAUAUUGCACAAUGGGCGGAAGCCUGAUGCAGCAACGCCGCGUGCGGGACGACGGCCUUCGGGUUGUAAACCGCUUUCGCCUGUGACGAAGCGUGAGUGACGGUAAUGGGUAAAGAAGCACCGGCUAACUACGUG